rnacentral:rRNA from 1 species
GAUGAACGCUAGCUACAGGCUUAACACAUGCAAGUCGAGGGGAAACGAUGAGAGAGCUUGCUCUCUUAGUCGUCGACCGGCGCACGGGUGAGUAACGCGUAUCCAACCUGCCUCUGACCAAGGGAUAACCCGUCGACAGUCGGACUAAUACCUUAUGCAGUCGUCGGAAGUCAUCUGAUGACGACGAAAGAUUUCAUCGGUGAGAGAUGGGGAUGCGUCUGAUUAGCUUGUUGGCGGGGUAACGGCCCACCAAGGCGACGAUCAGUAGGGGUUCUGAGAGGAAGGUCCCCCACAUUGGAACUGAGACACGGUCCAAACGCCUACGGGAGGCAGCAGUGAGGAAUAUUGGUCAAUGGGCGUAAGCCUGAACCAGCCAAGUAGCGUGCAGGAUGACGGCCCUAUGGGUUGUAAACUGCUUUUAUGCGGGGAUAAAGUGAGGGACGUGUCCUUCAUUGCAGGUACCGCAUGAAUAAGGACCGGCUAAUUCCGUG